UACAGAGGGUGCGAGCGUUGUUCGGAAUUAUUGGGCGUAAAGGGCGCGUAGGCGGCGCGGUAUGUCACCUGUGAAAUCUCCUGGCUCAACUGGGAGCUUGCAGGCGAAACUGCCGUGCUGGAGUGUGGGAGAGGUGCGUGGAAUUCCUGGUGUAGCAGUGAAAUGCGUAGAGAUCGGGAGGAACACCAGUGGCGAAGGCGGCUACCUGGACCAGCAUUGACACUCAAGCACGAAAGCGUGGGGGGCAAACAGG
rnacentral:rRNA from 1 species